ACGGAAGGCAGCAGUGGGGAAUAUUGCACAAUGGGCGAAAGCCUGAUGCAGCGACGCCGCGUGAGUGAUGAAGUAUUUCGGUAUGUAAAGCUCUAUCAGCAGGGAAGAUAAUGACGGUACCUGACUAAGAAGCACCGGCUAAAUACGUGCCAGCAGCCGCGGUAAUACGUAUGGUGCAAGCGUUAUCCGGAUUUACUGGGUGUAAAGGGAGCGCAGGCGGUACGGCAAGUCUGAUGUGAAAGCCCGGGGCUCAACCCCGGUACUGCAUUGGAAACUGUCGAACUAGAGUGUCGGAGGGGUAAGUGGAAUUCCUAGUGUAGCGGUGAAAUGUGUAGAUAUUAGGAGGAACACCAGUGGCGAAGGCGACUUACUGGACGAUAACUGACGCUGAGGCUCGAAAGCGUGGGGAGCAAACAGGAUUAGAUACCCUGGUA
rnacentral:rRNA from 1 species